UACAGAGGGUACAAGCGUUAAUCGGAAUUACUGGGCGUAAAGCGUGCGUAGACGGUUAUUUAAGUCAGGUGUGAAAGCCCCGGGCUCAACCUGGGAAUUGCAUUUGAGACUGAAUAGCUAGGGUGCGGAAGAGGGAAGCGGAAUUUCCGGUGUAGCGGUGAAAUGCGUAGAUAUCGGAAGGAACACCAGUGGCGAAAGCGGCUUCCUGGUCCAGCACCGACGUUCAGGCACGAAAGCGUGGGGAGCAAACAGG
rnacentral:rRNA from 1 species